UAGGGAAUCUUCGGCAAUGGACGUAAGUCUGACCGAGCAACGCCGCGUGAGUGAAGAAGGUUUUCGGAUCGUAAAGCUCUGUUGUUAGAGAAGAACGUUGGUAGGAGUGGAAAAUCUACCAAGUGACGGUAACUAACCAGAAAGGGACGGCUAACUACGUGCCAGCAGCCGCGGUAAUACGUAGGUCCCGAGCGUUGUCCGGAGUUAUUGGGCGUAAAGCGAGCGCAGGCGGUUCUUUAAGUCUGAAGUUAAAGGCAGUGGCUUAACCAUUGUACGCUUUGGAAACUGGAGGACUUGAGUGCAGAAGGGGAGAGUGGAAUUCCAUGUGUAACGGUGAAAUGCGUAGAUAUAUGGAGGAACACCGGUGGCGAAAGCGGCUCUCUGGUCUGUAACUGACGCUGAGGCUCGAAAGCGUGGGGAGCAAACAGG
rnacentral:rRNA from 1 species